rnacentral:rRNA from 1 species
GUGCAGCAGUGAGAAACCUCCGCAAUGCGGGAAACCGCGACGGGGGGACCCCGAGUGCCGUGGCAACGCCACGGCUUUUCCGGAGUGUAAAAAGACUCCGGGAAUAAGGGCUGGGCAAGGCCGGUGGCAGCCGCCGCGGUAAUACCGGCGGCCCGAGUGGUGGCCGCUAUUAUUGGGCCUAAAGCGUCCGUAGCCGGGCCCGUAAGUCCCUGGCGAAAUCCCACGGCUCAACCGUGGGGCUUGCUGGGGAUACUGCGGGUCUUGGGACCGGGAGAGGCGGGGGG